rnacentral:rRNA from 1 species
UACAUGGGGUACAAACGUUGCUCGGAAUUAUUGGGCGUAAAGCGCACGUAGGCGGUUUGUUAAGUCGGAUGUGAAAUCCCUCGGCUCAACUGAGGAAGUGCAUCCGAAACUGGCAGGCUUGAGUACUAAAGAGGGUCGCGGAAUUCCCGGUGUAGAGGUGAAAUUCGUAGAUAUCGGGAGGAACACCGGUGGCGAAGGCGGCGACCUGGGUAGAUACUGACGCUGAGGUGCGAAAGCGUGGGGAGCAAACAGG